UACGUAGGUGGCGAGCGUUAUCCGGAAUUAUUGGGCGUAAAGGGUGCGUAGGCGGUUCAUUAAGUCUGUGGUUAAAGUGCGGGGCUCAACCCCGUAUAGCCAUGGAAACUGGUGAACUAGAGUGCAGGAGAGGGCAGUGGAAUUCCAUGUGUAGCGGUAAAAUGCGUAGAUAUAUGGAGGAACACCGGUGGCGAAGGCGGCUGCCUGGCCUGUAACUGACGCUGAGGCACGAAAGCGUGGGGAGCAAAUAGG
rnacentral:rRNA from 1 species